rnacentral:lncRNA from 1 species
GUACUCCUCUCUCAAGGUGACGGUGAUGAACUUCUCUAGAAAUAAUUGUGAGAACUGAUCCCAGGUAAGUGCAGGUGACCUAGCUGGUCUAGUCAACAUAUAAUCUCUCCAUUAUCUCCGGGCGAAACUAAUCAUCUGAAAUGCUACAAAAUCAACCCUAUUGGUCUCAACUAUACCCUUGUUGCGCAACACUUCGUGGGAACAGUCCAAAGAGCUUGGUGAACUUAUCCAACCUUAACAUAGCCUCAGAAGAAGUGAGACUGUCACUGCCUGUGCGCACACCAGCCAACUGAACUACCCUAAUUGGUGGGGCUGCUGGAGUCUGAAAUUGGGGAGCCACCUGCUACUGAUUGUGUGUAGCGAGAGUUUGUGCUCCUCCCCUAGAUCGAGAGAUGGUUGGUUCCAUUAGAAACGUACCGAUCUUUUUUGCACUCUCUAUAAGGCCCACCAAACGAUCUAGAGAAUCCUAUAGUACUGGAGUGGCUAUGAACCCCUCCAGAACCUGCGCUGGACGGGAAUAGUCUGAGCUGGAACCUUCUCCUCCUAAAAAUCCACAUGGGACUCCACUGUAGGUGCUGCUGCUCGAGCUCUAGGCCGAGCUCUGCAUCUGCCUAUGCAUCGGCUUCUGCCAUGACCUUGGCCUCGACCUCUACCCCUAGUUGUAGCUUCCACAGAGGGCUCCGGCUCUUGUCUGACGGUAGAUGUAGUGCGUGUUCUCGCGAUCUAUGAGAGAACAAAAAUUGAAGAGUUCAAUCAUCAAU